UACGGAAGGCAGCAGUGGGGAAUAUUGCACAAUGGGCGCAAGCCUGAUGCAGCCAUGCCGCGUGUAUGAAGAAGGCCUUCGGGCUGUAAAGUACUUUCAGUCGUGAGGAAGGUGUUAAGGUUAAUAACCUUAGCAAUUGACGUUAGCGACAGAAGAAGCACCGGCUAACUCCGUGCCAGCAGCCGCGGUAAUACGGAGGGUGCGAGCGUUAAUCGGAAUUACUGGGCGUAAAGGGCACGCAGGCGGUUAAUUAAGUUGGAUGUGAAUCCCCGGGCUUAACCUGGGAAUGGCAUUCAAGACUGGUUAGCUAGAGUCUUGUAGAGGGGGUAGAAUUCCAUGUGUAGCGGUGAAAUGCGUAGAGAUGUGGAGGAAUACCGGUGGCGAAGGCGGCCCCUGGGACAAGACUGACGCUCAUGUGCGAAAGCGUGGGGAGCAAACGAGGAUUAGGAUACC
rnacentral:rRNA from 1 species